rnacentral:rRNA from 1 species
UACGGAGGGUGCAAGCGUUAUCCGGAUUCACUGGGUUUAAAGGGUGCGUAGGCGGGUUGGUAAGUCCGUGGUGAAAUCCCCAAGCUUAACUUGGGAACUGCCGUGGAUACUAUCAAUCUUGAAUAUCGUGGAGGUAAGCGUAAUAUGUCAUGUAGCGGUGAAAUGCUUAGAUAUGACAUAGAACACCAAUUGCGUAGGCAGCUUACUACACGAUCAUUGACGCUGAGGCACGAAAGCGUGGGGAGCAAACAGG